CACGCGCACGGAAUACACGCGCGCCCACGUGCGCAUCAACCAGCCGGCGUACCUGUCGCUCAACUCCUUUGUUCGUUUUUUUUUUGCGUGCGUGCGUGUGUGUGCGUGUAAUCUGGUUCUCCCGGCUGCGCCUGCGCUCUCCCUCCGCGCCCGAAUUUGCAUUCUUCUUUACGGUGAUUGGAUUGCCCGCUUUGGCGACUCCGCUUCUCUCUCGCCCGUCUCCCAUCCGCACCGCCGCCACCUGGCCAUCGGCGCCGGCGAGUUCUUUCUUCGUCUACCAUUUCUCUCCUCUCUCUCGCCGUGCUUCGCAGUCCGCUGCUCAUCGUCAGCGAGGGACUCCGUGUAUCUAUACUUGGACUCCGCUCUGUUAUACACGGCGAAACACAGCAACAGGCGCGCGCUGGCCGACAACCCCCCCCCCAUCACCACCACCACCACCAAGCAUGGCGUCUGUGUCGAACUUGACCACUGCCCCGGCUGCCACCGGGAAGAGUGUACUGAAGACCAUGGUGGCCAUCUUCAAGGAGGAGGCUGACAUUCCACGUGUCCUAGGCGAGUCGGAGGCGUUCAUUGCCUACACGCUUAAGAACCGUCGUGCGAUUCGGCUCAUCUGCCGCGCCAACAACGAGCGCGGUGCCUUUCGGCUACACGAGAGCCCGGUGCACGACCUGCGCUUCGUGAACUUCCACAGCAACGUGGCUGCCUCUGCGUCUUCCAGUGACUUCUACGUGUGGGUAGCAGUUUUCGAGCGAGGAGGUGCUGGUCACGGAGCUGGUGACAAGGCCGCCGCCACGGAGGGGCGUCUGACGGUGAAGCCAUAUUUCAAGCUCGCCGACAAGGUUAUCAUCAACACGUUCCACUUCUUCAUCAACCCCGCAAACAACAUGCCUGACCUUCUCGUGUUGUAUGGUAAGACGGCCGCGGUGCUGGAGAGCUCGAAGCUCAUCUCAGAGUACUCGACGAGCAUGCUGGAGGCGAAGCUGAGCGCAGCGAGCCGCGAGCUGCGCCAGCUGCCGCAGGAGACUUCGCUCAGGAGUAUGUGCACCACCUUCAGUGGCAGCUGGCUCGCCUUCACGUCGGAGGCGACGAAGGUCAUGGCGUGUACGCUGCGCAACACGACGACGCCAGCAUGGAGCGGGUGCGAAGGGGAUGAAAUUGUGCAGCUCAGCUUCGUCGGCAGCAACGCAGCGGCGGCGGGUGAUAGCGCUGCAGCGCCGGCGGCGGACUCCAGCAGCGCCCUGCUUGCUGUCAGCUCCAAGACAAGGGUGUGCGUGUGGAAGCUUACCGGCGUCGCAGAGCCGGCGCUGCUGCGCAUCUUCACCUUCGGCGGCAUUGUGACCAUGCUCACGUCUCGUAACGCCAUGGCCAUCUUCAAUGACGACGGCAAGCUGGCGCGUGUUCAGGUGCGCGGCGACGACGACUUCGACACUACGGUGUACGACAUGGGCGGCGCGGUGCGGCCGACGAGCGUGUGCUACCACGAGUCGACCCGCUUUGCCACGGUGCUGGUCGACGCCGUCAAGGAGCUGGACCUUUACCAGCUCGCCACGAACACCUCUGCGCCAAGCGCGUCGUCCCCGACCUCCACACCGGCGAAGGAGGCAACUACAGCUGCGGCUGCUCCCGCGCCUCGCAGCAGCACCACGCCCUUCGCCGACCCCUCCAUCAUCAGCACCGGGAUCCCGUUUCGCCCGUCCGCGAGCAGCUACGCGGCUGCGCCUGUUUCGGCGUCGGCGUCGUCUUCAGCCCCUGCCGGCUCUGCGUCCCCGCCCGCCAAAGCAAUAUCGUCGACAGCUACGAACGCGAACCCGAUAACUGCCAUGGCCGCGUACAACAACGCUCGCAGCGCUCUCCAAAACGCCACCCUGCCACAGUCGCUGGACGGGCUUGUGGCGAGCGCUGUGUACCAGGGCGACGAAGCCUUGCGCCGCGCCAUCGAUGGCCUGCUGAAUGUGGUGAAGAACGUUGCGCAGAUCCUCUCGCUCACUCCCGACCAGCUCACGCGCGAUCAUCAGCAGCUCAUCUCACUAGCGCUGGAGGCGCAGAUGACGGAGCUGCAACAGACCGCGAGCGCGUCUGCGGCAGCCGCGGCCCCUGCCGUGCCUGCCGCCGUGGCGACGAACAGUCGCCACUCCGAAGCCUUCAACAGCUACGCGCUGGCGAAGCUGCUGGCGCCCGUUGCGAGCGAGAUUGCCACUGGGGUGACGCGUGGCGUGCGUGACACUCUUCGCACCGAGCUGGAUGCCGCCGUGAACGCCGCCUUCAACUCGAGCAUUCGUGUCAAUCAGAAGGAGGUGCUGCGUCGCCGCCUCGAGGAGGCGUUGCAGGAGACACCGCGGACGCUCGGCGAGAACGCCGCCAAGUGGAUCGACGCGUACGUUGAGCGGGAGCUGAGCGAGUCGCUGGCGCGCAUGAACGCAAGCAUGAGCGCCUUGGAGGAGGAGAACCGCAAGCUGCAGGCAGCCUUGACGCAGAUCGUGAACUCCGGUGCUGUGCAGGAGGUGGAAGCCAUGCGGGCAGAGCUUGCGGAGCUCCGCGCCGCGAUCCGUAGCGGUGAAGCCAUCGGUAAUAACGGAGCUGCGGCUGGCGCUGGCGCAGCAGCGACGCCGUCCCCACAGACGGUGAUCGAGACGGCGGAGAAGUACAUCAAGGAGGGCCGCAUUUCGCAGGGCCUUUCCUAUGUCGUGAUGGCGCAGAACGCUCGCUGCUGUGUGCAGCUGCUGGACCGCCUCUCGGAGGAUGAUGUGGCGAGAGUGGUGUCUGACGCGGAGACGACGGAGGCGACAUGGGUGAAGCUGAUCACGCAGAUGUGCGAGCAGGAGGCGACGGAGACGGCAGAUGAGCUCGAAAAGGUCGCGUCGUUCCUCUUCGACGUGCUGUCGGAGCACGACGAGGUGAUCGCCAAGAAGACGGCAAAGGCGCAGCAAGUCCGCAGCGACGUGCGCCAUCUGAUUGCGCGCGCGCGCGGCAAGAUUGAGAGCAGCGACGUUCGCCGCAUGCUGAAGGACCUCGAGAAGAGCAUUCAAUAAAGCGUUGUUAGGCCAAGGGGCAUGCGAGCACAGGCGCAAACACGCGCGCACACGUGUUCGCCUUGUGGCGGUGUUCUCUGCCUCGGGGCAGGCUCGGCGUGGAGAUCAAGGUGGGCAACGGCGACUCUUCGUCCCUCUCGCUCACGUGUGUGCCUCGGGAUACGUGCGUGCGUUUCGCCACCCCCGCCCCUCCUCCUCCUCGUCCUUCACGCGCUUGGCGGAGGCUCACCUGGACACGCCCCGCCCUCCGCUGUCUUUCGCUGUACUCCUUUUGUUGUUGCUGCCCCUUCUCUCUCUCGUCCAGCGUUCACCGUGGCGGAUUUUGUGGAUGAUGUGGACCCCCCUCCCUUCCCACCCUAAGGAAGUCAUUAACAGACGUUUUUUUUGUUGUUGUUCGCUUUCGCCCCCUCCCCCUCUUGUUGUUUAAUCUUUCUUCCUUUGCGUGGUGCCGUCUUCUUGUUGCUUGCGCCUCUCCCACGCUGUGCGCAUGUGUGCGUAGAGCAGGGGGUGUCGCUCGCUGAUGGGCUACGCGUUCUUUUCGGGCUGUGUAUACGCGGGCACAGCAGCUGUGGUAAAGAGGGCACUGUGUAGUAGUGCAUGCGUGAUGGAUGCCUUCUCUUCGAGUGUGUAUGGAAAGGGAUGGGGGGAGGCCUGUGUAUCUGUAUGCAAAUGCUGUAGUGUGUCUCUGUGUGGGUGGGUGCUGCUGUGGUUAUCGUGGGAAUGCAUCAGAGAGGACGUCGCUGCAAGAAGCGCGCAGCGGAUCUCGGCGGCGUGCGUUUGCUCGCGACGGCGAGGUUGGUUGCGGAUAGUAGUGUUGGUUGCGGAUAGUAGUGUUGGUUGCUGCGGCGUGGAAAAAGAAAUGUGUGGAAGUGAUGCUUGCGGUGCGAGUGUUGCCGCGCGGCUGCGUGGGGGGGGGGGGGCUCUCGUUACUCGAUCCCCCACCACCACCACUUCACCCCUCCAUCGUCUUCUCUCGCUGACAUUCCACCACCGCGCACACGCCAGGUCGUCGCUCCCUCUCUCGAUGAUUUUCUCUCUUUCAUGCUUCCUUCGCUUCACACGAAGGAGGAGCAGCCCGUGUGGUGGUUGAGUGUUCUGCGUGCGUCUUGAUGCGUCUUAGUCUGAGGGAGGUUCUUGUUCCAUUUUUCUUCGUUCUUUAGUAGCGACUGCACAUGACUGUGCUGCGACACUCACGUAUC
rnacentral:misc_RNA from 1 species